GCCCGGGUGGUGAAAUUGGUAGACACGAGGGACUUAAAAUCCCUUGCCCGUAAUAGGGCAUGCCGGUUCGAGUCCGGCCCCGGGCA
rfam:Parcubacteria (Giovannonibacteria) bacterium GW2011_GWB1_47_6b TY02_C0050, whole genome shotgun sequence.